CGGAGCUCCCCAUGCGGCACGGUGGGGCAGGUGCCCCACCUACCGCUGGAGUAGCAUCACUGGAAGCCCCCCUAUCUUCUUCCCUUCCGGCGAGCCAGAGCCAUGGAGCAGCGCUGCGACGGCGGCCGGCGGCCGUCGUCUCCAUAGGCAAGGGGAAAACGAGGAGAGAACAGAGAAUAAAGGCCCCAAUAAGCCCAAUAAACCGGCCCAAGUGGAACUAGCUCCCCCAAAUCCCUAAUCCUCCGGCCGGCCGCCGUUAGCUCCUCGCCUCCUCCCGACCUCAACCUACGUCCCGCAACUCCCGCUCACUGCUCAGCACCUCAGCCUCACAUCCGCUCCUCCGUGCUCCAGCCUCUGCAGUCUACCACCGCGCCGCCGCCCAGAGCCCCAGACUCCGCUAAAGCGUUGCCGCCUCUCGCGUGGAACUGCAGGCCUGUCGGCUGCCUUCCUGGCCAGGGACGCCCCGGGCGGCCGGGCAACCACCAACCGACCCCGAGCAACCGAGCCCCCGACCUGCGCAGCACCGGCGCAAGCUCAAGUGCCGGCAGGCGGCUGCUCAGAUGGUGGGGGGAGGGGAGAUUGGUCGCAGUGACACCAGCGAGCCGAGUCGUGGGCGCAGCGGGGAAGAAGCUAAUGGAGAUCGAGUGGGAGGAGCAUGCUGAGAUUUCUUAGCUCUUGGAAUGUUAGAUUUUAGUAUUUAAAUUGGACAUUUUUUCUUAUUUGGCUGGUCUUUGUUGAAUUAAAGAAUAAUCAUCUUCAAAUGAGAGGUACGAUUAUAGAUCAGUAUUUAAAUUUGUUAUAGAUUCGCUAUUGAUGUGCAUUCUUGUGAUGUUAUUAAAAAAAAAUAUUUACGAUA